AUUGAACGCUGGCGGCAUGCUUUACACAUGCAAGUCGAACGGUAACAGGGAGCUUGCUCCGCUGACGAGUGGCGAACGGGUGAGUAAUGCAUCGGAACGUGCCGUGUAAUGGGGGAUAACGUAGCGAAAGUUACGCUAAUACCGCAUACGCCCUGAGGGGGAAAGUGGGGGACCGCAAGGCCUCACGUUAUACGAGCGGCCGAUGUCGGAUUAGCUAGAUGGUAAGGUAACGGCUUACCAUGGCAACGAUAGGUAGGGGUCCUGAGAGGGAGAUCCCCCACACUGGUACUGAGACACGGACCAGACUCCUACGGGAGGCAGCAGUGAGGAAUAUUGGACAAUGGGCGCAAGCCUGAUCCAGCCAUGCCGCGUUGCAGGAAGAAGCAUCUAUGGUGUGUAAACUGCUUUUGUACGGGAAGAAACACUCCUUCGUGAAGGAGCUUGACGGUACCGUAAGAAUAAGGAUCGGCUAACUCCGUG
rnacentral:rRNA from 1 species